rnacentral:rRNA from 1 species
CCGCCGGCGACCGGCGCACGGGUGAGUAACACGUAUGCAACCUGGCCGUGACAGAUGGAUAACCGGGAGAAAUCCCGCCUAAUACAACAUAAUGCCGGGAGGGGACAUCCCCUGCCGGCCAAAGGGGCGACCCCGGUCACGGAUGGGCAUGCGGCGCAUUAGGUAGUUGGUGGGGCAACGGCCCAUCAAGCCGACGAUGCGUAGGGGUUCUGAGAGGAAGGUCCCCCACAUUGGAACUGAGACACGGUCCAAACUCCUACGGAAGGCAGCAG